UGGGGAAUAUUGCACAAUGGGCGCAAGCCUGAUGCAGCCAUGCCGCGUGUGUGAAGAAGGCCUUCGGGUUGUAAAGCACUUUCAGCGGGGAGGAAGGCGAUAAGGUUAAUAACCUCAUCGAUUGACGUUACCCGCAGAAGAAGCACCGGCUAACCCCGUGCCAGCAGCCGCGGUAAUACGGAGGGUGCAAGCGUUAAUCGGAAUUACUGGGCGUAAUGCGCACGCAGGCGGUCUGUCAAGUCGGAUGUGAAAUCCCCGGGCUCAACCUGGGAACUGCAUUCGAAACUGGCAGGCUAGAGUCUUGUAGAGGGGGGUAGAAUUCCAGGUGUAGCGGUGAAAUGCGUAGAGAUCUGGAGGAAUACCGGUGGCGAAGGCGGCCCCCUGGACAAAGACUGACGCUCAGGUGCGAAAGCGUGGGGAGCAAACAGG
rnacentral:rRNA from 1 species